rnacentral:rRNA from 1 species
AUACGGGGGAUCCGAGCGUUAUCCGGAUUUAUUGGGUUUAAAGGGUGCGCAGGCGGCCAUUUAAGUCAGCGGUUAAAUCGUGGGGCUCAACCCCAUUCUGCCGUUGAUACUGGGUGGCUUGAUUGCGCUCGAGGUUGGCGGAAUUCGUUGUGUAGCGGUGAAAUGCAUAGAUAUGACGAAGAACACCGAUUGCGUAGGCAGCUGACCAGACCGCAAAUGACGCUCAUGCACGAAAGUGCGGGGAUCGAACAGGAUUAGAUACCCUGGUAGUCCGCACAGUAAACGAUGAAUACUUGUUUUCGGCGAUAUAAUGUCGGAGGCAAAGCGAAAGCGAUAAGUAUUCCACCUGGGGAGUACGCCGGCAACGGUGAAACUCAAAGGAAUUGACGGGG